GGCCCAAUGGUCUAGAGGUAAGAUACUUGCUUUGGGGUCAGUUGUUCUCGGGAUUCGAACCCGGUAAAGAUCACGUGACUGACUGCAAGGGAUCCCGGGUUCGAAUCCCGGUUGGGCCC